UACAAGGCGCGAGUAUAAGAUGCUUCCGCAUCUAAAACCGUGCGAACAACGGGCACAAGAACAGCAAACGUUGAAUAACAACUGUAAAGGCGCACAACAGCGGAAAAGAAAGGAAGCACGAGAAGUUGCCGGUGCUCACCUAUCAAUCGGGGUCACAUGACCACAUUUGACUCACCUGAUGACGGAUGGUUCCUCCAAUGAAGUGAGCUAGGAGGGCCCACGUAAAGAAAGCUCGCACACCAUUGUUGCUUGCCGCCCCGUCAUCGUCGCCACUUUACAAGUUGAAGUGAAAGACAAAAAGGGGCUGCAGCGUUCUCUCUGGCCGAAAUCGUUGCGCGUUCUCUUUCUCGCCUGCGCCUCAAGCUCUUAGUGGUGAGCUGCACGAGCGGCGAGGAUCACAUCAGCAUGGGACAUGCAACAAGGGCGUUUACAGAUUGGGCCGGUAUCUCCAGUGUUGAUCUUACGAGUCGCAACGGAUGUUUGACGUAAAGUGUUGUCACCAGUGUUAAUU